UACAGAGGUCCCAAGCGUUGUUCGGAUUCAUUGGGCGUAAAGGGUGCGUAGGCGGCGCGGUAAGUCGGGUGUGAAAUCUCGGAGCUUAACUCCGAAACUGCAUUCGAUACUGCCGUGCUUGAGGACUGGAGAGGAGACUGGAAUUUACGGUGUAGCGGUGAAAUGCGUAGAUAUCAAGUGGAACACCAGUGGCGAAGGCGAGUCCCUGGACAACUCCUGACACUGAGGCACGAAAGCUAGGGAGCAAACAGG
rnacentral:rRNA from 1 species